GUAGUGGUAGUUAAGUGGUAGAAUUCUCACCUUCCAUGUGGGAAACCUGGGUUCAAUUUCUGGCCAAUACA
rnacentral:tRNA from 1 species